CGGCAAUAUAAGCUCGAUGUUCGUCAUAAGAUUGGAUCGGUUUUAUAAAUUAUAAAAGCUAACUAAUCCCAAUUGAAAGAUAAAUAUAUCCACUUGUUGAUUGUUUUUCUCAAUCGUUAAUAUUAUUUGGAUUGUUUUUUUAUAAAACACGAAAUAUUCAAAAAAAAAAAAAAACACGAAAUAAUCUUGUUUAGUUUGUUCUAAGUUUGUAUAUGUGAGUUUUAAUUUGAAAAUUAAUAUAACUGUGGAAGUGGAAUAUUAUUCUUCUGGGGUAUGUCACUUUCAAAAGUCUAGUUAGGAAGGAAAAAAAUUAUACAUACAAUAUCGUAAGUUUGGCAUACGUCUGCUUCAAUAUGCAAUGUACACAGAAAAAUAAUUAUUGAGUAGCUAGCUAGGACUAUCAUUAUCAUGUUUUCUAUACGUCGUCGAGUGAUAUAAAAGACAACAAAAAGAAUUUUACAUUUUUCUUUUAUGAAAAUGGUUAUUAAAAAAAAAAAAAAAAUCGCGGUUGAAAUAAUUACACUUAAUCAUUGCUUUGUCAUUAUCACUAGUGAGCAUGCUAACACCGUACGAGCACGUAAAUAAUUGAUUUCAGUACCAGUG
rnacentral:lncRNA from 1 species